UGGGGAAUAUUGGACAAUGGGCGAAAGCCUGAUCCAGCCAUGCCGCGUGUGUGAAGAAGGCCUUUUGGUUGUAAAGCACUUUAAGUGGGGAGGAAAAGCUUAUGGUUAAUACCCAUAAGCCCUGACGUUACCCACAGAAUAAGCACCGGCUAACUCUGUGCCAGCAGCCGCGGUAAUACAGAGGGUGCAAGCGUUAAUCGGAAUUACUGGGCGUAAAGCGCGCGUAGGUGGUUAUUUAAGUCAGAUGUGAAAGCCCCGGGCUUAACCUGGGAACUGCAUCUGAUACUGGAUAACUAGAGUAGGUGAGAGGGGAGUAGAAUUCCAGGUGUAGCGGUGAAAUGCGUAGAGAUCUGGAGGAAUACCGAUGGCGAAGGCAGCUCCCUGGCAUCAUACUGACACUGAGGUGCGAAAGCGUGGGUAGCAAACAGGAUUAGAUACCCUGGUAGUCCACGCCGUAAACGAUGUCUACCAGUCGUAGGGUCUUUUAAAGACUUAGUGACGCAGUUAACGCAAUAAGUAGACCGCCUGGGGAGUACGGCCGCAAGGUUAA
rnacentral:rRNA from 1 species